UGGGGGAUAUUGGACAAUGGGGGAAACCCUGAUCCAGCGACGCCGCGUGGGUGAAGAAGCGCCUCGGCGCGUAAAGCCCUGUCAGCAGGGAAGAAAAUGACGGUACCUGAAGAAGAAGCCCCGGCUAACUACGU
rnacentral:rRNA from 1 species